GCUGGGCCUAGCAACACACAUCUAUAAUCCCAGCUCCCGAGGAAGCUAAGGUAAGUGAAUCUUUUGAGUUCAGGAGUUUUGAGCUACAGUGGGCUAAGCUGAUUGGGUAUCUUUACCAAAUUCAGCAUCCAUGUGGUCAGCCUCCAUGAGUGGGGGGACCACCAGAUUGCCUAAGGAACAGCAAAUUGGCCAGAAAUAGUAGGUCAAAGCUUUAAUGCUGACCAAUGGUGUGAUCAGACCUACGAGUAUCCCCUGAGUUUCUACACUGGCAAGAUAGGGAGACCCAGCCUUU
rnacentral:SRP_RNA from 1 species